UGCCCGCGUGGCCUCCCUGCGCGGGCGCCUUGUUCAGCAGCAAGGCUCCCCGUUCACCCGGCUCGCUCCCCCGCCAGCCGGGUUUUUU
rnacentral:ncRNA from 1 species